UGGGGAAUAUUGCGCAAUGGGCGAAAGCCUGACGCAGCGACGCCGCGUGAGCGAAGAAGGCCUUCGGGUCGUAAAGCUCAGUCAUUGGGGAUGACACGGACAGUACCCAAGGAGGAAGCCCCGGCUAACUACGUGCCAGCAGCCGCGGUAAUACGUAGGGGGCGAGCGUUGUCCGGAAUUACUGGGUGUAAAGGGCGUGUAGGCGGGGAUGCAAGUUACUGGUAAAAACCCGAGGCACAACCACGGGCUUGCCGGUAAAACUGUAUCUCUUGAGUGGAGGAGGGGGAAGUGGAAUUCCCGGAGUAGCGGUGAAAUGCGAAGAUACCGGGAGGAACAACAGUGGCGAAGGCGGCUUCCUGGCCUACUACUGACGCUGAGGCGCGAAAGCUAGGGGAGCGAACGGG
rnacentral:rRNA from 1 species